rnacentral:rRNA from 1 species
UCGUCCUACGGGGGGCAGCAGUGAGGAAUAUUGGUCAAUGGUCGGGAGACUGAACCAGCCAAGCCGCGUGAGGGAUGAAGGUACAGAGUAUCGUAAACCUCUUUUGUCAGGGAACAAAGGCGGGGACGCGUCCCCGGAUGAGUGUACCUGAAGAAAAAGCAUCGGCUAACUCCGUGCCAGCAGCCGCGGUAAUACGGAGGAUGCGAGCGUUAUCCGGAUUUAUUGGGUUUAAAGGGUGCGCAGGCGGUCUGUUAAGUCAGCGGUCAAAGCCCGGGGCUCAACCCCGGCCCGCCGGUUGG